rnacentral:rRNA from 1 species
AUUGAACGCUGGCGGCAUGCUUUACACAUGCAAGUCGAACGGUAACAGGGAGCUUGCUCCGCUGACGAGUGGCGAACGGGUGAGUAAUGCGUCGGAACGCGUCGAGUAGUGGGGGAUAACGCAUCGAAAGGUGUGCUAAUACCGCAUACGUACUGAGGUAGAAAGUGGGGGACCUUCGGGCCUCACGCUAUUCGAGCGGCCGACGUCUGAUUGGCUAGUUGGUGAGGUAAAGGCUCACCAAGGCGACGGUCAGUAGCGGGUCUGAGAGGAUGAUCCGCCACACUGGGACUGAGACACGGCCCAGACUCCUACGGGAGGCAGCAGUGGGGAAUUUUGGACAAUGGGCGCAAGCCUGAUCCAGCCAUGCCGCGUGUCUGAAGAAGGCCUUCGGGUUGUAAAGGACUUUUGUCCGGGAGCAAAUGCUGGUGGCUAACAUCCACCGGAGCUGAGAGUACCGGAAGAAUAAGCACCGGCUAACUACGUGCCAGCAGCCGCCGUAAAAC